AUUCAGUCUUGCCGACGUCGGCAAUUGGAGGGCACCAGCGGCAAAGGAUCGGCAGGGUUUUUUCCCCAUGCACAUCAAAUAAAACUUGUCAGUUUAGGUGGGCAAAUCAUCGGCGGGACGAGUCUACCCGACAGCGCACAUUGGAGAUCGGCGGAGGAACCGUGAAGAACCAUUUAGCCGAUCCCGCUUCUUUUUUUUAAAAUGCUGCCUGCUGCCGACGAGUAUGAGAAGUCCGUUCGUUGGUCCACAUCAAGCCGGCUGUGUAAGCACGAAGUGCCACAAGAUGAUUGGCAGCAAGAGUCAACCAGUGAUGAAGGGAUGCGCUCAACUGAAUACAAGUGUCUGUGAACACAAACAUGCAGCAGAGUCGUGAAACCCCUCAAUCCCGUCCAGGCCUUCCAAACAGGACUCCUCUAAAGCCU